AACUAUCUCAAAACUAUGUUGUUUUGCUCAAUUGCAAUCAAAUCUAAAAAUUCAGAAAAAUUGAUGUUUUUUGGUUGUUGUAUUGUAUCAUCUGUGAUACUGUCGAGUGGUGGGUAAUGUAGUGACCAAAAAGACUUGUUAACAGAAGAGAGGAAGCAAUAGUUAUCAUGGUGAUUCUAAGUAAAUGGAAUUUCACUACCACAUUAGAAUACAUUCAACAGAAUGAGCACGCACAGUGCUGAUACCACACCUUGAAU
rnacentral:lncRNA from 1 species